GCCCACUUAGCUCAGCAGGUAGAGCAUCACCAUGGUAAGGUGAGGGUCAUCGGUUCAAUCCCGAUAGUGGGCUUUG
rnacentral:tRNA from 2 species